rnacentral:misc_RNA from 1 species
AACGCAAAUUGCGCUUUCGGGAUAGGCCUGAAAGCACGCCUCUUUGAGUAUCGUUUCAACCAACGCUCGACUGCGUUCUUAACUGAAGCGCAGUUCGGAUGAAUUGAGUUUCGCAUUUGUAACAGAAUGCGUGACUUUAAGAAACGACAGAAACAAUUGUUCCCGAAUAUCGGUUGAACCUGUCGAUUCACAUUGCGAAUGCGGUUAAUUUGGCUUCGGCUGAAUAUCAGCAUGAGCAAUUGAAUAGAUAUCCAAAAGGUUCUGUCUGAUGACAGUUUGGAACGAUCUGUCAAGUUUCGACUUGAAAGAUAUUCUUCUAUGAAUAAGAUCUCAAAUGAAGCGAGAAAACCCGCCGAACUUAA